rnacentral:lncRNA from 1 species
ACAAGUUACAAAGAAUAUGUCUUGCGUCAUGUUCCUUGUCUGGGCUGGCCACCCCGACGGGCACCUGACUGAACUUUAGAAACAUCCCAUCCGUGGGAACAAGAAGAAAUAACUCAAAGUAUCCAAAUGUCUGAAACCCUGAGUCAGAACCUAGAGAAGCCUUAGUAUAAAAGGGAGUCACAGGCAUAGAAUAAUUGGGAGCCUCACUGAGGAGAGGACGCUUUGCCACAGACCCAGACAAUCGGCACUCUAGCCCGCCGUACAAACUAUUGGGACUUCCCCGGAUGAUUGUGGUGUGGAUGUUAAAGAAUGAUCAAGAAAUCAAUGAAUUUGGAAGAACCUUACUUAAGAUGACCACCACGGAUGAGAUGACCACUACGGGCAGAAAGUAAAGCAACCACAAGCUGCGUGCAUCCGCACUUCCAAAUAGGCAUAGUGAGAAGCAAGGUGAACCAAAAAAAAAAAAAAAAUGAUUCCAAUUGCCAGCAAGGAAGGAUUUAUGCAGGAAAUAACUUGACUGAAUAAACAGAACUAGCUAAGACUAGAUUAUUCAAACAUGAGAUUUAUCUCUAAGUCACACAAAGCUGGACAAUGUAGCAAAACUAUCUACUGAUAAUUUCCGAGAUGUAUAAACACUGGUGAUGAGCACGCAUUUAAGACCCUCUUCAAGCCUUAUCCCUGAGAAAGAGACUACAAGAGAGGACAGUUCACAGGCACUGAGGAUGGAAAUUACCCCGGUGCAAGAGUUGCUCCAUGAGAAAACACCAGAGAUCUGGAAAAGAAGAGAAAGUAAAUCUUCAACCCAUCUCAACUGGUUCCUAUUGAGUAUUGGUUCCUACUAA